CCUACGGUGGGCUGCAGUGAGGAAUAUUGGUCAAUGGCCGCGAGGCUGAACCAGCCAAGUCGCGUGAGGGAAGACGGCCCUACGGGUUGUAAACCUCUUUUGUCGGGGAGCAAAGCGAACCACGUGUGGUUCAUUGAGAGUACCCGAAGAAAAAGCAUCGGCUAACUCCGUGCCAGCAGCCGCGGUAAUACGGAGGAUGCGAGUGUUAUCCGGCUUUAUUGGGUUUAAAGGGUGCGCAGGCGGAGGUGCAAGUCAGCGGUCAAAUUGCGGGGCUCAACCCCGUACUGCCGUUGACACUGCAUGCCUUGAGUGCGCGAGAAGUAUGCGGAAUGCGUGGUGUAGCGGUGAAAUGCAUAGAUAUCACGAAGAACUCCGAUUGCGAAGGCAGCAUACCGGCGCGCAACUGACGCUCAUGCACGAAAGCGUGGGUAUCGAACAGGAUUAGAUACCCUGGUAGUC
rnacentral:rRNA from 1 species